rnacentral:rRNA from 1 species
UGGGGGAUAUUGCACAAUGGGCGAAAGCCUGAUGCAGCGACGCCGCGUGGGGGAUGAAGGCCUUCGGGUUGUAAACUUCUUUUGCUCUGAACAAGGCGCACCAUGGGGUGUGUUGAGUGUAGGGGUUGAUUAGCGCCGGCUAACUACGUGCCAGCAGCCGCGGUAAUACGUAGGGCGCGAGCGUUGUCCGGAAUUAUUGGGCGUAAAGGGCUUGUAGGUGGCUGGUUGCGUCUGUCGUGAAAGCUCAUGGCUUAACUGUGGGUUUGCGGUGGGUACGGGCUGGCUUGAGUGCAGUAGGGGAGGCUGGAAUUCCUGGUGUAGCGGUGGAAUGCGCAGAUAUCAGGAGGAAUACCGGUGGCGAAGGCGGGUCUCUGGGCUGUUACUGACACUGAGGAGCGAAAGCACGGGGAGCGAACAGG